GCUUCUGUGCAGGCCUGCAGGGGCGUAGGGCCAGGACGGAGACACAGGCCUGCGGCCUCCUCGCCGCCCUGCGCCACUUCAAACUCGGCCAGCCGCCGGAUCCCUCCACGCUCUGAUCCCUCCUCCUCCAAAUCGGCAUCUCUGAUACCGCUUCUUGCCGCUUUGAAAUCGAGUACUGGAGGGAGCAAAUCCUGAGCCAAGAGGAGGAGUCGACCUCCCCCUCAUCGGCGGCGUCGUCGCCCUCCGGUACUGCCUCUUCUCCCUUUUUGACCCCGGCAACACAAAGCCGUUGCGUGUUUGGCUGUAUGCGGGGAACAGGCGGCGGCUGCUCUCCUGGAGCUACAGUGACGACAGCUCCUCGGUGCCCAAGGAGUUCUCCUGCUCGAUUUCUUUGGAUUUGAUGUGCAAUCCCGUUUCAUUCAAUCAUACAUUAUAUACAUAGGAAAGACUCGCAAGUUCCUUUAUAUUCAUAAUAUGUUGAUUGAAAACAUGUUCAUGCUCACCGGGACUGAUAAUUCUAGCUUUCUUUUUUCAUUCUAAUCCAAUUUGGAACACGUGUGAUAGCCAAAUAAGGUAGACGCUGGAUCUGCUUCGCUUGGUCAAGAUGUAGUUUAUCGCUUAUAUAAAAGGAGUCUUCCAUUACUAUCGCUUUUGAUGAUAUUCCUGAAGAUGGUUUAAAUAGCCCUCUACGUCUUGAGAAGCUUGCAAAUGAGUCAUCUGAUUCUCAUGACCGAGAUGGAUUGAAUCAUGAGCUGUGUGGUAGUACAGUUGGAUCUGGGAAUAGAAUAAUGGCCAUCUAUGUAAAGUUCUUCGUCUGUGAUCUUUAUUCUCGUGACUAAGGAUGGAUUGAGCCAUGAGCUGUGUGGUAGUACAGUUGGAUCUAGGAAUAGACAUGGGUUUCACCAUGAACUUAGCAAUUGUGUGAAUAAUGCGUCCAAGGCAGAUUCUGUGCUCUGCUCUAUUUUUUUCUCCCUGAACUUGCUUGGUGUUGGUAGGUCACUUAAAAAUAUCCCCUUUAUCUCAUUUGCCCCUUGAUUUUGUUUUGUGUGUGUAUGGGUUGAUUUUCCACGCAUAAGGGUUCGUGUUCUGGCAACAAAAUCUGACCAUGCGUGUAUGUGUUGUGCUGCUGAUGUCAUCUUUUCAACAUAUAUGCUGGGGAGGACGAUGCAGAGAGGGAUGAGGUGGUGUCAGUAGCGGUCAGCACGGACGCUAAGUGGCUACUGGUCUACUCACUCGCUGGCGAUCUACUGCACAAGCAGAGGAAGGAGAACGCUUGGGAAGAUUGGCUCAGAUGAACUUUCCUGGUGUUAUCGCACGUUUUGAUGGUGCUGACCUUCAGAAUUGUGUGAAACUCUCACCUCUAUCGCUAUAUAACAAACAUAAAGCUUGAUGCUCAGUCACCGGUGGUGGCCAGGUCUUUACUGCAAGUUCAAUGAUAAUAACUAAUUUCUUGGUUGCUUACGGAGCAUUCUUAAGAAAACAUUCGAAGAGUAAAAGCAUGCUUGUGGAAAGAUAAGUUUGAAGAGCAAGACGCUGGAGAUGAGGUAUCCUUUGGACGGAUACCCUUCCAAAUUUGGGAUGUAAGCAAGUUUAGUUCAUGUGCUGGUGCUGCAAUUGUUGGUCUGAAUGCCACCUCCCUUGUUAGAACUGCAGCUUCUUAAGAGUGAAGCUUCCCGGACAGAGGAAGGAUGCUGAACGCGGAAGGCGGGAUUGGUGACGCUUCCCCGUUGGUGUGCGCCGGUGGUGCCUGCUGACUGGCGAGGCCUUGUUUAGUUCAACCCAAAACUAAAAACUCUUGUUUUAGGCCUUGUUUAGUUCCGAAAAGUGAAAACUUUUCGGUAUUGUAACACUUUCGUUUGUUUGUGACAAAUAUUAUCCAAU